CCUACGGGUGGCAGCAGUGAGGAAUAUUGGUCAAUGGACGAGAGUCUGAACCAGCCAAGUAGCGUGAAGGAUGACUGCCCUAUGGGUUGUAAACUUCUUUUAUAUGGGAAUAAAAUGUUCCACGUGUGGGAUUUUGUAUGUACCAUAUGAAUAAGGAUCGGCUAACUCCGUGCCAGCAGCCGCGGUAAUACGGAGGAUCCGAGCGUUAUCCGGAUUUAUUGGGUUUAAAGGGAGCGUAGGUGGAUUGUUAAGUCAGUUGUGAAAGUUUGCGGCUCAACCGUAAAAUUGCAGUUGAAACUGGCAGUCUUGAGUAAAGUAGAGGUGGGCGGAAUUCGUGGUGUAGCGGUGAAAUGCUUAGAUAUCACGAAGAACUCCGAUUGCGAAGGCAGUUCACUGGACUGCAACUGACGCUGAGGCUCGAAAGUGUGGGUAUCAAACAGGAUUAGAUACCCUGUAGUC
rnacentral:rRNA from 1 species